rnacentral:lncRNA from 1 species
UUUGGAUUUAUUUAGGAUUUAGGACUUGAUUAGGGUUUAGAUUAGGAUUUGAUUUAAGAUUUGGUUAGGAUUUUAUUUAGGAUUUAGGGUUUGAUUUAGGAUUUUGUUUAGGGUUUGGUUUAGAAUUUGGUUAGGAUUUGAUUUAGGAUUUAAUUGGAAUUUGAUUUAAGGUUUGUUUAGGAUUUGAUUUAGGGUUUAGGAUUUUAUUAGGAUUUAAGAUUCAAUUAGUUUUGGCCUAAAGUUUGAAUGAAGUUUAAUAGGAUUUUAACUAGAAUUAAAUUAAGAUUGAAUUGAGAUAUAUUUGGAUAAUAUUUAUGAUCCUUCUAAUAUUUCUUUAAGAAUUCUUAUUAUUUUUUUGAAAUUUCUUUGAGGUUUUUUUUUUAAAAUUUGAUUAAGCUUGCUUAGCAUUAUUAUGGUUUAAUUAGAGCAUUGUUAGUAGUGUAUUAGAAU